GGUGGGGUUCCCGAGCGGCCAAAGGGAGCGGACUGUAAAUCUGCCGUCAUCGACUUCGAAGGUUCGAAUCCUUCCCCCACCACCA
rnacentral:tRNA from 2 species